AUUGAACGCUGGCGGCAGGCUUAACACAUGUAAGUCGAGCGGGGGAGGUUGCUUCGGUAACUGACCUAGCGGCGGACGGGUGAGUAAUGCUUAGGAAUCUGCCUAUUAGUGGGGGACAACAUUCCGAAAGGGAUGCUAAUACCGCAUACGCCCUACGGGGGAAAGCAGGGGAUCUUCGGACCUUGCGCUAAUAGAUGAGCCUAAGUCGGAUUAGCUAGUUGGUGGGGUAAAGGCCUACCAAGGCGACGAUCUGUAGCGGGUCUGAGAGGAUGAUCCGCCACACUGGGACUGAGACACGGCCCAGACUCCUACGGGAGGCAGCAGUGGGGAAUAUUGGACAAUGGGCGGAAGCCUGAUCCAGCCAUGCCGCGUGUGUGAAGAAGGCCUUUUGGUUGUAAAGCACUUUAAGCGAGGAGGAGGCUCUUAAGGUUAAUACCCUUGAUGAGUGGACGUUACUCGCAGAAUAAGCACCGGCUAACUCUGUGCCAGCCGCCGCUGUAAAAC
rnacentral:rRNA from 1 species